rnacentral:rRNA from 1 species
GACGAACGCUGGCGGCGUGCUUAACACAUGCAAGUCGAACGGAAAGGCCCUGUUUGCAGUGUACUCGAGUGGCGAACGGGUGAGUAACACGUGGGUGAUCUGCCCUGCACUUCGGGAUCAGCCUGGGAAACUGGGUCUUAUCCCGGAUAGGAGCUUUUUUCAGUGUGAUGGUUGGAAAGUUUGUUCGGUGUUGGAUGAGCUCGCGGCCUAUCAGCUUGUUGGUGGGGUAAUGGCCUACCAAGGCGGCGACGGGUAGCCGGCCUGAGAGGGUGGACGGCCACAUUGGGACUGAGAUACGGCCCAGACUCCUACGGGAGGCAGCGGUGGGGAAUAUUGCACAAUGGGCGCAAGCCUGAUGCAGCGACGCCGCGUGGGGGAUGACGGCCUUCGGGUUGUAAACUGCUUUCGCUAGGGGCGAAGCUUUUGGUGACGGUACCUAGAGAAGAAGCACCGGCUAACUACGUG